AUGGAGGUACUGGGGAUUGAACCCAGGACCUCAUGCUUGCUAAGCAAGCACUCUACCACUGAGAGAUACCCUCCCCCACCCUAUCCUAUUCCUGUGCAAUUUAAAUGUCUGUCUUCUUUUGGUUCUCAGAUCAUUCAUCAUUUCACAAAGCGGAUCCAGACCAAAAUGAAGGAUCUUCUACAGCAGAUGGAAGAAGGGCGGAAGACAGCUGGUCCCCAUGAUUGCUCUGCUUAUACUGGUUGGACAGGUAACACUCUGGGCUGUAUGCGACUUUUCCUUGGAUGUACCUGAUCUCCAGAAUCUUCUCCAGUUCCAACAUUGCUUUCACCUCGUACAAGUCCUUGAACUUCAUCUUUGGCCUCCGCACCUUGCUGAUGACCGUCAUGCUCCGGCUGCUGGCCACCACCUCCAAAGUCCAGUUCUUUGGGCUCCUGGGGUGAACGGAGCUGGGAAGACCACCACGUUCAAAAUGCUUGAAUGGAGACAUCCCUCUGACCUCCAGACAUGCCGUCAUCAGGACACCCAUGGGCUGUACUGGGUCGCUUGUGACCAGACCUGUCUGCUGCGAUCCCUGGACCACGGAAAGAGAACACUUCGGAAUCUGCACAGCUGGAGCCGCACUUUCCUCUGUGGAGAUGCUGGGCCCUUUGCCUUCCGAGCUGUGGUACAUCAUAACUUAAAAGUGAUUGCGAGUCCUAGGGGUGCAUCACAAACUCCAGAGAACCAUCGCCUGCCAGGAUUCAGACCUUCCCAGCGAGCUGCUCUAUGGACAGGCCGGUUAUCUGUACGCCUUACUCUACGUGAACUUGGAGAUGGGUCCCGACGCCCUGUGCGAGUCAGCUGUCAGAGAGGCAGUCGCUGCUGUUAUUAAAUCGGGCAAGACUUCAUCGAGGGAAGAAAAGAAGGCUGAGCGCCAUCCCCUGUUGUAUCAGUGGCGCAGGAAGCAGUAUGCUGGCGUGGCCCAUGGCGUGGCUGGAAUGUACUGCAUGUUAAUGCCGCUUUUAUUAGGAAAAUGAACCCCAUGUGUGUCCUCCUGUGGAGGGUUCUCAGUCAAAUCGGAGACGUCCUGUCACUGCAGCCGCAACGGCCUGUGUCCCGGGACCACGAGUACAUAGCCAUGUCCUUGGAUAUCAGAGGGCUCACCUUCAUGUCGAUUGUGCUGGUGGACGUGUCCUUGGUCAAGGUGACCCUGCCCUGGAACUUCUCUGCAUAGCUUGUGGCACCGUCUUUGAAGUCAGUUCAUCCCAUUGACUCAAGCUCUUCUCCAGGGGCCUGCUCCACCCAGUGCACGUUGUAGCUGGCGAAAGUGUAUCAGGAAGCCUUGUAGGAGACCUUUGCUGAAGCCCCAGGCUUCCUCAGCUCAGCCCCAGACUGCAGCAGCUGGACCUGCAGGUGGACGCCUGUGCACAAGAGGCAGAGCUGGAUGAGCACUAGUUGACGGGUCCUGGAUCCCUCCUCAUCCCAGAGACUAAGGAGCCCCUGACUUGUAACCACUGCCACCAGGGGGAGGAUUCUUCAGCUGCAAUCCAUGGUGAGGGCUGUGCUCUCAGGGCGUCUGUGAAGGAGGGCGUGUGACUGUUGCAUGAUACUCCCACAGCUCAGGUUAUCCAUAUUUAACCUAGGAGACCUCAGCUCAUUUGUAUAUUCAAGAGGUUGAAAACUCUGUACUUAACAAUCUGGUGCAACUUGAAAAGGAGAACAUAAAGGACACAAGGACACACACUCCAUGGAUGCUGAGGGUCUUCAUCCUCAUCCUUGUUUGAGAAUGUGCAUCCCCUGCCACAUCCCUGAACUCUGUGCAGAAAGAGCUCUUCCCACUGAGGGCCAAGCCCCCACAGGACAAGGCCCUCAUUGUGACCCGCCUUUGAAUGACUCAGAGACACCUGAACCUGUUCUGGGCUUUCAUGUGUGAAUGACUUACUCCUGGGACUGGAAGGCCGCACACUUUUUCACAUUUUGAAUUAAUAAAACCAUCCCUGUCUUCAAGCUACUUACUAUUGAAAUAGCAGGAGCCCUAGAAAUUCUCUUUUUAAAUGUGGUCUUCACUGACUUACUAAGGCAUGCAAAAGCUCUCAUUAGAAUCCAAUAUUUGAAGACACAUCAGUAGUCCUUGUCAAAUUGUUAGUAUAGACUUUUUUUUUUUUGAAAAAAGAAAACCAUGGCCCCCAAGGAAACCCCUCCAAGGCCCUCUGCCCCUGCUCCUGGGCUGGAGGCCCGUGCCAAGGCUUCCUGAGCGCCCUCACGUGGGAGGGCCCUCUGAGGUCACAGGGUGUGUACCUUCUAGUCCAGUAUUACAUUCCUCUGCCCUGAAAUCAGGGAGCACUUUCAGGGACAUCAGGUUUUCUUUUCUUUUCUGUUUCUGUUCUCAGUUAUUGAGGAUGUUUUUGUUUGUUUCUUUUUUCCGUGUGUGUGUGUGUGUGUGUGUGUCGGUGUCGGUGUCGGUGUCGGUGUUGGGGGUAAUUAGGUUUAUUUAUUUAUUUUGUGGAGGUACGAGGAACUGAACCCAGGACCUCAUGCAUGCUAGGCAUGCACUCUACCACUGAGCUGUAUCCUCCCCCCAUUAUAAAAUACGGAAUGUAGUUCCCUCUGCUAUACAGUAGGAUGUUGUUUUUUAUCUGUUUUGUGUAUAGAAAUUUGUAUCUGCUAAUUCCAAACUCCUAAAGUGUCCUUCCCCGAUCCCAUUUCCCCUUUGGUAAAAAUGUUUGUUUUCUAUGUCUGUGACUCUGUUUAUGUUUGUAAGUAAGUUCAUCUCUAUCAUAUUUUAGAUACCACAUCUUAAGUGUUAUACCAAAUUUGCAUUACUCUUUCUGACUUACAUCACUGACUAUGAAAAUCUCUAGGUUCACUGAUGCUGCAAAUGGCAUUAUUUCAUUCUUUUUUUAUUGAAGAAGAGUCAGUUACAAUAUGUCAGUUUCUGGUGCACAGCACAAUGUCCCAGUCAUGCAUAUGCAUACAUAUAUUUGUUUUCAUUUUCUUUUUCAUUAAAGGCUAUUACAAGAUAUUGAA